rnacentral:rRNA from 1 species
UGGUGACGCCGCUGACUAGCAUAUCAUAAGCGGAGGAAAGAACUACAGAUCCCCUAGUACUGCGAGUGAGCGGGAAAGCUCAAAUUUAAAUCUGCGUUCUGCCGUCCGAGUGUAAUCUGGAGAAGCGUUUUCUGUGCUGGACCGUGUACAAGUCUCUUGGAACAGAGCGUCAUAGAGGGUGAGAAUCCCGUCCAUGACACGGACGCCCAGUGCUAUGUGAUACGUUUUCAAAGAGUCGAGUUGUUUGGGAAUGCAGCUCAAAAUGGGUGGUAAGCUCCAUCUAAAGCUAAAUAUUGGCGAGAGACCGAUAGCGAACAAGUACCGUGAGGGAAAGAUGAAAAGCACUUUGGAAAGAGAGUUAAACAGUACGUGAAAUUGUUGAAAGGGAAACGCUUGAAGUUAGUCGCGUCUUACUUGACUCAGCCUUGCCUCGGCUUGGUGUAUUUCAUGUGAGACGGGUCAACAUCGAUUUUGACCGGCAGAGAAGGGGGGCGAGAAUGUGGCAUUCUUCGGAGUGUGUUAUAGCUUACUCUCAUAUGUGUCGGUUGGGAUCGAGGCCCGCAGCGCGCCCUUGUGGCCGGAGGUUCGCCUCACGUUACGCGCUUAGGAUGUUGGCAUAAUGGCUUUAAGCGACCCGUCUUGAAACACGGACCAAGGAGUCUAACAUGCUCGCGAGUGUUAGGGUGGAAAACCCUUGCGCAGAAUGAAAGUAAAAGUUGGGAACCUCCGCAAGGGGGCGCACCGACGCCCGGCCCAGAAGUUUACGGACGGUGCUGCGGUAGAGCGCGUAUGUUGGGACCCGAAAGAUGGUGAACUAUGCCUGAAUAGGGCGAAGCCAGGGGAAACCCUGUGUGGAGGCUCGUAGCGAUUCUGACGUGCAAAUCGAUCGUCAAAUUUGGGUAUAGGGGCGAAAGACUAAUCGAACCAUCUAGUAGCUGGUUCCUGCCGAAGUCCCCCUCUCAGGGAUUA